rnacentral:rRNA from 1 species
AGCAGUCGCCGCGGGAAUACGGAGGGUGCAAGCGUUAAUCGGAAUUACUGGGCGUAAAGCGCACGCAGGCGGUCUGACAAGUCAGAUGUGAAAUCCCCGGGCUUAACCUGGGAACUGCAUUUGAAACUGUCAGGCUGGAGUCUUGUAGAGGGGGGUAGAAUUCCAGGUGUAGCGGUGAAAUGCGUAGAGAUCUGGAGGAAUACCGGUGGCGAAGGCGGCCCCCUGGACAAAGACUGACGCUCAGGUGCGAAAGCGUGGGGAGCAAACAGGAUUAGAUACCCGAGUAGUCCCUGUCUCUUAUAC